rnacentral:rRNA from 1 species
AUUGAACGCUGGCGGCAGGCCUAACACAUGCAAGUCGAACGAGUGGGGGAGGGGUGAGUAAUGUCUGGGAAACUGCCUGAGGGGGGGGGAUAACUACGGGAAACGGUAGCUAAUACCGCAUACCAUCAGAUGUGCCCAGAGGGGAGUAGCUAGUUGGUGGGGUAACGGCUCACCAAGGCGACGAUCCCUAGCUGGUCUGCGAGGCUGCCCAGCCACACUGGAACUGAGACACGGUCCAGACUCCUACGGUAGGCAGCAGUGGGGAAUAUUGCACAAUGGGCGCAAGCCUGAUGCAGCCAUGCCGCGUGUAUGAAGAAGGCCUUCGGGUUGUAAAGUACUUUCAGCGGGGAGGCGUUACCCGCAGAAGAAGCACCGGCUAACUCCGUGCCAGCAGCCGCGGUAAUUC